CCGACAUGGACAUCCAGCGAGUGUCUCCUGGCUCUGUCCUGGUGGCGUAUGGGAGCGUAGCUCUGAGCUGAGACGUACAGUCCCGUUCCACGCUGUCGAACAGAAAGCUCCGUCCCCGGCUGCUGGCUGGUGAGGACGGGCGUCCUGCAUAUUCCUACAACUUCCCAGAGUCCUUUGGGGCCGUUACUGGGGAGCCAAACCAUGCAGGACACAGAU
ensembl:snoRNA SNORA73 Small nucleolar RNA SNORA73 family